rnacentral:rRNA from 1 species
UACGUAGGGGGCAAGCGUUGUCCGGAAUUAUUGGGCGUAAAGAGCGUGUAGGCGGCCAGAUAAGUCCGCUGUGAAAUCUCGAGGCUCAACUUCGAGCUGUCGGUGGAAACUGUCUGGCUAGAGUCCGGAAGAGGAGAAUGGAAUUCCUGGUGUAGAGGUGAAAUUCGUAGAUAUUCGGAAGAACACCAGUGGCGAAGGCGGCUCACUGGACCGGUAUUGACGCUGAGGUGCGAAAGCGUGGGGAGCAAACAGG